UACGUAGGGGGCAAGCGUUGUCCGGAAUUAUUGGGCGUAAAGAGCUCGUAGGCGGUCUGUUACGUCCGCUGUGAAAACCCAGGGCUUAACCCUGGGCUUGCAGUGGAUACGGGCGGGCUAGAGUUCGGUAGGGGAGACUGGAAUUCCUGGUGUAGCGGUGAAAUGCGCAGAUAUCAGGAGGAACACCGGUGGCGAAGGCGGGUCUCUGGGCCGAUACUGACGCUGAGGAGCGAAAGCGUGGGGAGCGAACAGG
rnacentral:rRNA from 1 species